AGCUUGAUCUUUGAUCAGCGGACCAUCUAGUAUUGCAGUUCAUUGCACUGUCCCAGUAGCUGAAAGAAAAAAGAAUUGCAGAAAGUCUCACAGGCAACAUGAAAGAUCAGUGAAGAUUACAAUUAAAAUUGGAGUAGCAUAGAUGAAGAAACCAGAGGAAAACAGAACCUUAAAUGUGAGAACAGGGAAGAAAAGAUUAUUUCAUCAGGAGAUGUAUCCAUGUUGAAAAAUAGGUCAGAACUUUCUCUGGAAAAUCAAGUCAAAAAGUGCUGCAUAAUAAGCUUGAUAACAUCACAAGGAGAAUUAUUUUUUAGUGGUCGUUCCCCUCCAUCAAAGGAUAUGGAAAAAAUCAAGCUUGAGUUAAACAGAGAAACAAGCAGCUGACAGGAGCAAAAAAUAUCAGCAAUGUUUCUCUUCAUUGGGAUUCCAUAGCAACUACAGUUAGCUUAUACAACAAAUUACUGUGAAUUUAAAGGUUGUAUCAAACCCCUAAAUUUUAGCACCAGUAGCAAUGCAACAUAACAAAUGGUCAUGCUCUCAGUGCUGAGAAGGCAUCUCAA